rnacentral:rRNA from 1 species
AUAUCAAUAAGCGGAGGAAAAGAAACCAACAGGGAUUGCCUCAGUAACGGCGAGUGAAGCGGCAAAAGCUCAAAUUUGAAAUCUAGCACCUUCGGUGUUCGAGUUGUAAUUUGAAGAUGGUAACCUUGGGUUUGGCUCUUGUCUAUGUUCCUUGGAACAGGACGUCAUAGAGGGUGAGAAUCCCGUCUGAUGAGAUGCCCAUUCCUAUGUAAGGUGCUAUCGAAGAGUCGAGUUGUUUGGGAAUGCAGCUCUAAGUGGGUGGUAAAUUCCAUCUAAAGCUAAAUAUUGGCGAGAGACCGAUAGCGAACAAGUACAGUGAUGGAAAGAUGAAAAGAACUUUGAAAAGAGAGUGAAAAAGUACGUGAAAUUGUUGAAAGGGAAGGGCAUUAGAUCAGACUUGGUGUUUUACGAUUAUCUUCUCUUCUUGAGUUGUGCACUCGUAUUUCACUGGGCCAGCAUCGAUUCGGAUGGCAAGAUAAUGGCAGUUGAAUGUGGCUUCACUUCGGUGGAGUGUUAUAGCUUCUGCUGAUAUUGCCUGUCUGGAUCGAGGGCUGCGUCUUUUGACUAGGAUGCUGGCGUAAUGAUCUAAUGCCGCCCGUCUUGAAA